rnacentral:rRNA from 1 species
UACAGAGGUGGCAAGCGUUGUUCGGAAUUACUGGGCGUAAAGGGCGCGUAGGCGGCCUGCUAAGUCGGAUGUGAAAUCCCUGGGCUCAACCCAGGAACUGCGUCCGAUACUGGAAGGCUUGAAUCCGGGAGAGGGAUGCGGAAUUCCAGGUGUAGCGGUGAAAUGCGUAGAUAUCUGGAGGAACACCGGUGGCGAAGGCGGCAUCCUGGACCGGUAUUGACGCGUGAGGCGCGAAAGCCAGGGGAGCAAAGCGGG